UUACAGGGGCGAAUCACGCCGAAUGCUCCGUAAAAAAUUGAUAGAGAUGGAAUUCACGGCACAAAUAGUUUACAAAAUGUUUAGAUUUAGGCUAUAAAAAUGGAUUUUAUCAAAGAAAACGGCACUUCAUUUGUUCAAUGAGAUACUCUGGAAGAGAAAUAAGAGCAAGAUAUCAGAAUGCCGGUGGUGGCUGGUCCCCUGCAAGAAGGUGAGGUGCCUGAGGUCCCUCCGCCCCCUCUGGACAUCGAGGGGUCCCCGGCAUACACGGUGAUUUCUCAGCCAAAGGUGAAGAACAAAUGGAGCUCUUUCGCCUACAAAAAUAAUAUUUUGGGAAAAAAUGGACUUUGGCUAUCUACCUGGGAGUCUCGUGAGUGAAAACAUCUGAAGUUCAUCAAAGGACAAUGACCCAACACACCUCCAGGCUGUGUAAGGGCUAUUUGACCAAGAAGGAGAGUGAUGGAGUGCUGCAUUAGAUGACCUGGCCGCCACAAUCUCCUGACCUAAACCUAAUUGAGAUGGUUUGGGAUGAGUUGGAACGCAGAGUGAAGGAAAAGCAGCCAACAAGUGCUCAGCAUAUGUGGGAACUCCUGCAAGACUGUUGGAAAAGCAUUGUAGGUGAAGCUGGUUGAGAGAAUGCCAAGAGGGUGCAAAGCUGUCUACAAG
ensembl:lncRNA